rnacentral:rRNA from 1 species
GACGAACGCUGGCGGCGUGCUUAACACAUGCAAGUCGAACGGAAAGGCCUCUUUCGGGGGGUACUCGAGUGGCGAACGGGUGAGUAACACGUGAGUAACCUGCCCUUGACUUUGGGAUAACUUCAGGAAACUGGGGCUAAUACCGGAUAGGAGCUCCUGCUGCAUGGUGGGGGUUGGAAAGUUUCGGCGGUUGGGGAUGGACUCGCGGCUUAUCAGCUUGUUGGUGGGGUAGUGGCUUACCAAGGCUUUGACGGGUAGCCGGCCUGAGAGGGUGACCGGCCAUAUUGGGACUGAGAUACGGCCCAGACUCAUACGGGAGGCAGCAGUGGGGAAUAUUGCACAAUGGGUGGAAGCCUGAUGCAGCAACGCCGUGUGCGGGAUGACGGCUUUCGGGUUGUAAACCGCUUUCGCUCAUGACGAAGCUUUGUGUGACGGUAGUGGGUAAAGAAGCACCGGCUAACUACGUG